ensembl:snRNA U6 U6 spliceosomal RNA
GUGCUUACUUCAGCAGCUCUUGCACUAAAAUUGGAGCAAUACAGAGAAGAUGAACAUGGCCCAUGUGCAGGAAUGACAUGGAAAUUCAUGUUGAACCCAUAUUUUCU